ensembl:lncRNA
UUACAAACAUAAUAGAUAAUUCACACAUACAUGUGUUUUUCAACUUCCCUUCUUCCUGUCCGUCCGGCAAACUGGUCCAUGGGGAACGCGUGCCGCAUGGGAACCAGGGCUUUAUUUUCUGUUCCGGGACAGUUCAUUUGGUUUGCUAAUGGCGGGGGUGGUGAGGUAGCGUUUGUACUUAGAGUGUCGUUAUGGUUGGUGUGAUUUAUUUAUCCAAGACUGUUGUGUGUGUGUGUAUAUAUUGGUAUGCAUCGUUUGAUGUACAUAUAGUGUUGGGGCUAUUGUUUUGUGGUGUUUGAGUGAUCAUGUGAUAUUGAUGUGUCACCUAUCCCAGUGGUUUCUCCCAAUCGGCCCUGAUUGGUAGGCCUAUUUAAUGGGGAGACAUGGAAGGGGAAAAAAGUCGGGCAUUUGACAUGCAACAGCUUGCUGAGAGGCUGUAUUAUUUUGUGUCAUAUUUUUGAACUGUUUGGGCACUGUAAAUAAACCGGCACCAUUUUUGCAACCUUCAACUCUCUGAGCCGACUCCUGCUUUUUAACCAACUGACUCCUUGGUUGCGUCCCGUCCCACAUCAGGCUCUGGUUUAGUUCCCCCAGCAGCAGGACCCUGUGCAGCAGGAGCCCAUGCAGCACCUGAAGGAUCAGCUGGAGUAGCAGACACGCUUGUCCAAGGCCAACAUCCAGUGCCAGCAGGACGAGCUGUUGCAGAUCCAAGACGAGCUACAGAAAGUGCAGGGCCAGAACAUCCAGAUGGGGCAGUUCCUGUUGCAGGGACCAGGGGGACUGAUCUGGGCGGCGUACAGAUCAUCCGGGGCGGCUCCGUACAGGCAAGCAGCGCUCUAAGCCUGCAGGGCCAGAUGGUGUCUACAGCGAGCCUACAGAGCAGCAUACAGUCGCAACACGCCAUCCAAUAGCAGGCCCAGCCCCAGCAAAGCCUCAUGCGAGAGCAGAACACAGUCUUUUUUUUCUUUUUUGUAAAGCCCUUAGUCACAGUUACAGUCUGAAACUGCUUCACAGGCCAUAUUACAUAUAUUACAUUAAAGUUUAUAUUCUAUUCUAAAUACAUGGCAACCUCCAACCCUAAGCUCUCUAAAGAGCCAGGACGAAUUGCAAUUAUUAUACAGGAAGAAAUAA